GGAUCAGUAGCCAAUGGUUUAGGGACCAGCACUUAUCCUCUGGAGACCAGGGUUCGAUUCCCUGCUUGGCCA